GACGAACGCUGGCGGCGUGCUUAACACAUGCAAGUCGAACGGAAAGGCCUGCUUUCCCUUGUGGAUUGCGGGUACUCGAGUGGCGAACGGGUGAGUAACACGUGAGUGAUCUGCCCCCAACUUGGGUAUAAGCCUGGGAAACUGGGUCUAAUUCCCGAUAGGACUGCAGGGUGGUGCCUGUGGUGGAACACGAUUUUCUAGUGGUUGGGGAUGAGCUCGCGGCCUAUCAGCUUGUUGGUGGGGUAAUGGCCUACCAAGGCGGCGACGGGUAGCCGGCCUGAGAGGGUGGACGGCCACAUUGGGACUGAGAUACGGCCCAGACUCCUACGGGAGGCAGCAGUGGGGAAUAUUGCACAAUGGGCGGAGGCCUGAUGCAGCGACGCCGCGUGGGGGAUGACGGCCUUCGGGUUGUAAACUCCUUUCGACCGCGAGGAAGCCACCUGGUUGGAAGGGUGGUGACGGUAGUGGUAGAAGAAGCACCGGCUAACUACGUG
rnacentral:rRNA from 1 species